rnacentral:rRNA from 1 species
CACGUAGGGCGCAAGCGUUGUCCGGAAUUAUUGGGCGUAAAGAGCUCGUAGGCGGUCCGUUGCGUCGGCUGUGAAAACCCGAGGCUCAACCUCGGGCCUGCAGCCGAUACGGGCAGACUAGAGUUCGGUAGGGGAGUCUGGAAUUCCUGGUGUAGCGGUGAAAUGCGCAGAUAUCAGGAGGAACACCGGUGGCGAAGGCGGGACUCUGGGCCGAUACUGACGCUGAGGAGCGAAAGCGUGGGGAGCAAACAGG